UAAGGUGGUAGAAAAGCUCAAGAGGACAAAAAAAAAAAAAAAAAAAAGCCAACCCAUCCCCCUUGGCCAUCGACCUCUUUUUCCCCCUAGUUCCUCCACAUCCAACUUCUGCUCUAGCUGACCUUUCGUCGAAGAUCUGAGUUAAAAGUUACCUUCCCGAAUGAAUUAGCUUACACUUCACCCACCACUGCGACUAGGAGAGACAGACCAUUCAACGAGCCCGGACAUGCCUUGAAUUGAGCUACCGUCUAUCCUGUCCGGCCACCACAAGCCGUGGGUCGUUGGUCCGCUGGUCUACUACUCGCUUGCACUAUUUUGCGUUUUUCUUCAUUUCUCUCUCAUUUCAACCCUUACUUUGCCCAUCCCAACCAUCAACAAGUUCCUCUUGACCCUCUUGACCCUUGGGAGCCUCCAAUUGCCAACCAUUUGCUCACGUGAGCUCCGAUUAGUCCGUUUUCGCCAUUGAAGCUGCUGGUUUCUUCUUUGAUGUUCAACCCAGAACAAAAGCAAAAACCAGUAAGGGUUUUCAGACUUUGUGGGCCAUUUUCAAGCCCUUCAUGGCCUCGCUUGGUGUUGCCGCUCGGAGGAUUAUCGCUCACCUCCGUGUCAUUGUCGCUAUGGACUUGCCGGAUCGCUAAACAAGAAGGAACUGAGGCCAAGGCAAGCUUCUGUGAUUAUAUGAUUGUGUGAUUAAGACGUCUUAAGCGUAUUACCCUCAUAAUCGGGGUUUAGCGAGUGGACUCACUGAGAUUUAUAUCUCACCCCGUCGUGGGCUUCAUUUUUCAAGACCAUAAGGUGGAAGACCUAGAGUCGAGUUGAGGAAAUUUGAAGUGUAGGUCAGAUAGAACAGUUCGUUUUGAGAGUCGGACUUUUGAAGUCUUGUGUUGGUAGACUUUUGUAUAUGACUCAAUUGGUUUAUAUAAGCAUGUUUUGUUUUUGAA